UAGAUUCUUCCCAUGUAUUGGUGCAAUAUUAAUAUCUGCGUGACAUGAUUACCGUAUGUCUUAGAAUUCUGUGAACCUCAACGCACGCGUCGUUUUGUAGGACGAUCAUCUUCUGGACGUGGCCACGCUUUAGUUAUUAGCCGUGCUGCUAGUGAACUUUAAGCAACUGGAGCGACAGACGACGCUACGUAUUACAGAGAACAUCCCGGAGCUGAUUGACAGAUCAAGGAUUGCUUUCGCUGUGGCAAAGAAUCUGUGCAUCAACUGAAUAUUCUGCCGCAUCUACUUCAACACCAAAACCAUGAAACUGAAAGGCGCGGCGCUGUGUCGCUAUAAAGUGAGCUGCGCUAAGGUGAAGAAAGCUAGAAACAAACGUAACGCCCGUAAGGAAGCUGCCAGGGGUAACGAUCGUCACCUGUCGGCCAACCCGCUCGAUGGCCACCAUCCGGUGCACCGUCGCGUCGUGUACUCGGCAGAAAUUGUUGAGCUGGGCAAUUCGCUGUACCGGCUGGUCUACUUUUUCAUCUCGUUAUGGCUGGUGUACAAAGCAUUUACAGCUUGGCAAAAUGCAGAUUAGGUUCGCUGCGGCUGAAAAAAAAUUUGAAGCAAAAAAACAUUCCUACCCGAUACGACUGCAUAGGGGUGUAAUGGAGCAUGCGCGUUAGGAAUGUUCUUGAUAGCAAUUAAAUUCUGUUCAUCCUAAUACUUAUUUCUGCGUUUAUUUGUAAUGCAUGUCCUUUUG